AAGCAUAUCAAUAAGCGGAGGAAAAGAAACCAACAGGGAUUGCCCCCAGUAACGGCGAGUGAAGCGGCAAGAGCUCAAAUUUGAAAUCUGGCGCAAGCCCGAGUUGUAAUUUGUAGAGGAUGCUUCUGGGUAGCGGCCGGUCUAAGUUCCUUGGAACAGGACGUCACAGAGGGUGAGAAUCCCGUACGUGACCGGUAGGCGCCCUCCACGUAGCUCCUUCGACGAGUCGAGUUGUUUGGGAAUGCAGCUCUAAAUGGGAGGUAAAUUUCUUCUAAAGCUAAAUACCGGCCAGAGACCGAUAGCGCACAAGUAGAGUGAUCGAAAGAUGAAAAGCACUUUGGAAAGAGAGUUAAAAAGCACGUGAAAUUGUUGAAAGGGAAGCGCUUGCAACCAGACUUGUCGGCGGUGUUCCGCCGGUCUUCUGACCGGUCCACUCGUCGCCGGCAGGCCAGCAUCGUCUGGGGCCGUCGGAGAAAGGCGUCGGGAAUGUAGUACCCCUCGGGGUAUGUUAUAGCCCGUCGCACAAUACGGAGUGUCCCGGGCGAGGUCCGCGCUUCGGUUUGGAUGCGGGCGUAAUGGUCGUAAGCGGCCCGUCUUGAAACACGGACCAAGGAGUCUAACAUCUAUGGGAGUGUUGGGGUGGAAACCCCUUGCGCGCAAUGAAAGUGAAGGGAGGCGGGAACCUUUGGUGCACCGUCGACCGAUCCUGAUGUUUUCGGAUGGAUUUGAGUAAGAGCAUAGCUGUUGGGACCCGAAAGAUGGUGAACUAUGCCUGAAUAGGGUGAAGCCAGAGGAAACUCUGGUGGAGGCUCGCAGCGGUUCUGACGUGCAAAUCGAUCGUCGAAUUUGGG
rnacentral:rRNA from 1 species